UGGGUUUGUUGGCUCAGGAACCCAAUCUGCAUGAUCUUGUUUAUAGCCAGCUACAAACAUUUUGCAGCGUUUUACUAAACGUUUGUGAAGUGUUGUCAUAUAAAACAUCUCUUAUGAUACUUACAGAAGUCCCGAGGUAGACAGAAGACUUACCUAGUAUACUCUUUUUAUGGACAAGAAAACGGAGAAAGUUUAAAGAGACUUGACCCAGCUUAACAAAAGGUCUGAUGGAAGGCUUUCUCAUUUCACAGCUGACAGCACUGGAGACAGAGCAGGAUCACAGAAGAAGAAAAUAAUGUACUUAGCACCUUGUGCUUAUUAGUUUGUGAUACUAUAUCGCUAACUGGAAAUUCUAUUAAGCCAUUCCCACCAAUUGCUUCUGGAUUAUAGAAUUAAUUGGAUAUGAAUUGCUAAUAAGCAUCUGAGUUUACCCUCUCUUUUCACUCUACCAUAUGUCAAAUUAAUCCAUUCUUUUUCCACAGACUCUAAGAUGGCCCCCAGUGGUCCUCACCUCUUGGUAUUCUCACCCUUGUGUAAGUCCCUCCCGAGAGUGAGCAGGACCUAGAACUUGCUUCUAAUCAAUAAAAUGCAACAAAACUGAUAGAUAUCACUUCUAUGAUUAUAUUACACAACAUGGUAUAUCUGUCUUGCUAGGAGACCCUCAACUGGCUCUGAGAAAGCAAGCUAUCAUCUUGUGAAAUGCCCUGUGGAAAAGCCCAUGUAGCAAAGGACAGCCAAUAGCCAACAGAAAGCUGAUGCCCUCAGUCCAACAGCCUGCAAGAAACUGAAUUCUGCCAGCAACCAUGUGAGAUUGGAAGCAGAUUCUUCCGUGCAGUCUUGUGAGAGAUUAUGAAGCAAAGGACUCAAGUUGUGCCCAGAUUCCUGACCCACAGAUACCGUGUGAUAAUAAAUGCAUAUUGUCUUAAACCA
rnacentral:lncRNA from 1 species